AAUGGCCUCAGACUUGGUGGCUUACGGCAGCAGAAGUUAGUAAACCAUAGUACCUAAGCAACCCGACUCAAAAAUAGUUAGAUGUGGUAGUGCACACCGCCAGUCCUUGUAGUCAGGGGACAGGAGCAGAGGGUCCAGAUGGAGGCCAGCCUGGGCUGUGAAACCGUGUGUGUGUGUGUAUGUAUGUGUGUGUAUGCGUGUGUAUCUCCGUGUGUGUGCGUGUGUGUGCAUGUGUGUGUGUAUCUCUGUGUGUGUGUGCAUGUGUGUGUGUAUCUCUGUGUGUGUGUAUGUGUGUGUAUCUGUGUGUGUGUGUGUGUGUGUGUGUGUGUGUUAGAAGGGAGGGACUAUAUGUGCUCUGUGAGUAGAGGCACUUCUGUGUAGGCAUGAGGAUCUGAGUUUAAUCUCCAGAUCUCAAGAGAUAGGACAAUUCCUGAUGUUGUCUUCAGAUUUCCCAUUGUGUCACAUGUGUUUACCUUCUGUCUUAGUUAGGGUUUCCAUUGCUGUGAGCAGACACAUGACCAAGGCAACUAUUAUAAAAGACAACAUUUAAUUGGGGCUGGCUUACAGGUUCAGAGGUUCUGUCCAUUAUCAUCAAGGCAGGAGCACAGUAGUGUCUAGGCAGGCAUGAUGCAGGAGGAGCUGAGAGUUCUACAUCUUCUGAAGGCAAACAGGAGAAGACUAGCUUCCAGGCAGCUGGGACAAGGGUAUUAAAGCCCACACCCACAGUGACACACCUACCCCAACAAGGCCACACCUCCUAAUAGUGCCACUCCCUGGGCCAAGCAUAUUCAAACCAUCACACUUGAGCACGCAUGCACACACAGAGACACAGUCACAACACACACACACAUAGACACCCUCACACAUACACACACACACACACACAGUCAAACACAAUACACAUACAUAUACACACAUGCAUAUACACACAUAUACACACAUAUUCACAUACAAACAUAUGUGCAUACAUGCAUACACAUAUACACACACUGAAACACAUAUAUACACAUGCAUAUACACACAUACAAUCAUAUACAUGCAAAUGCACAUAUACACACAUUUACACAGGUAUACCCACAUGCAUACACACAUACAUACAUGUACAUAUGCACACAUGCACACACAUACAUAUGCACAUACACACAUAUAUAUAUAUACAUAUACACAUAUAUGCAUGCACACACACAUGCACAGAUGUACACACACAUGCAUGUAUGAGUUUGUAUGUAUACUUGAGCACAGAUCAGAAGAGGCACCAUAUUGUCUGGGACUAGAGCUACAGGUGGUUAUGAGCCACCCUACAUGCAUGCUGGAAACCAAACUGUGGUCCCCUGAAAGGACAGUCAGUGCCUUUAACCCCUGCACUGUCUCUGCUGCCCCACAUUUGAUUCUUAAAGUUAACAUUUGUCACAGGCAUUCUUUCUUUUUCUCUUUUCUCUUUUGUAAACUUCUCUUUAAAGGUUGUUUGCACUCCAUCCAGCGGAGAGGACACAAUUCAGGUAACCAUCUCCCCACUCUAAUGCAUUCAACCUUAACUUUUAAGUUGUGUUGUGAGGAUUCGUGUGUAUGCACAAAGGCCUUCCCACAGUUUUGAAUUCUUGCCAUACUUUCCCGGGGGUAAAAUUACUGUGGAUGAGAACAAACGUUUUUAUAGUCUUCACUAUCUGUCACCAUAUCAUUCUCCUUGAGCAUUGCAAGGAGGGAUGCAGGCCCUGGCAGCACACCCGGCCGGCUAGUUCAUCAGGCUUCCCUGGGGGUGUGUCGGCUCGAACACUUCUUCCUGUUUAGCUCUGCGUUUGUCAGUGAUUAACAAGCUGGGACAAUUUUCUGUGAAUCUGUCUACAGAUUGUAAUUUGUUUUAUGUAAAUUGCUUCAUCAUUCCUGCCCCUGUUUAUAAAAAGCCUGUGGGCUUGUAAUUGUCAGCUCGCAUGAUGUCCUACCUGAAAACACUUUAGAAAGGAGAUAACAUACAAACACAUAUAUGCACGCAUAUACAACAUAUGUAGACAUACACAUGUACAUAUAUGUAUAUGUGCACACACACGAAGAUGUUCUACUUAAAAUGUUCUGAAUAUUUGGCCCCCCUUUUCUUCUUUUUUUCUUUUUUUUUUCAGAGCUGGGGACCGAACCCAGGGCCUUGCGCUUGCUAGGCAAGUGCUCUACCACUGAGCUAAAUCCCCAACCCCUGGCCCCCCUUUUCUUGAGACACGGUUUCUCUGUGUAGCACUGGCUGUCCUGAAACUUGCACCAUGGACUGUGCUGACCUUGAAUUCAGCCUCUGCCUCCCCAGUGCUGGGAUUAAACCUGUGCUACCACCUCCUGCCUUGCCUUUCUAGAUUCCUUCUUUCUCCUGCUUUGUCUUGAGACAGGAUCUAUCAUGUACCUGAGGCUAGCCUCGAACCGUCUCAGUAGCUGAAGAAGACCUGAGUGAUUCUGGUCCCUCUGCUUCUAUCUCUUGAGUGCAGAGAUUAUGUGUACUGCCAAGCCCUACUUGCAGUCUGAGUUCUCAAAUCCAGAGCGUUGUGCGUGCUAGGCAGACCCUCUACCAGCUGAGCCACACUCCAGCUCCGGCCAUUUCCCUUUUUAAAUACAAAGACUUAGCAUUGCUUUGUAGUCAAACCUGCUGCUCUUCCCUCCUGACUUAAUCAUCCACUCCUAAGUAUAAUAAAUGUUCUUUCUGUUGAAGGCACGAGACUUUCUCGGCUCCACUUGGCUUUUAAAAAGCAUGGAACUCUAGUUCAUGAAGGAUGUCUCUGUAAAAACUGCCUUGGCUUGAGGAAGAGGCCAUCCACAAACCCCUGUCUCCGAGACGAGACGGGAACUGCUGUGUAUCCCAGACUGGCUUCAACCUUGCAAUCCUGUGUCACCUCCCAGGCACCGCCAGGUUGCACCGCCACACCUGGCUAAGGUGUAAGUUUCCCAAACUCUGGAGUUUCACCAGCCUGGAUCCCUUGUUUGCUUUGAGGACUUGGCCCAAACAUGAUCGUGUGCAUCAACUACAUGCCUAAGAAACAGAUAACACAGACCUGGAAGACGUAUCCCAAACCAUGUAGGCCUCACCUUUCUCUAGGAUAAUGGAAACAGUUGUGGUAAAGGUGGGAGUCAGAGUUGGGUCUGAACUCUGGCUGUGUGUGACCCUCUGCCAAUGUGUCAGACCAUGCCUGACCAACAGCUUUGUGGGGAAAGUAUGAAGCAUGCGAAGAACAUCCCCCAACAGUACUUUCUCUGCUCUGAACCGCUUGGGGGCCCUCGGACAAGCCUUGUGAGCAAAGGUUGCUCUGAACCCCCUUCCCUACAGAUCGGAGAGGCUCCCACACAACAGUGCAGUGUCUACAGGGCCGAGGAGGCCAAGGACCAGCAAAGCUGAACAGCAGAGAACUGAAGGCUCUCAACCUUCCUACUGCUUCAGCCAUUUAACAUAAUUCCUCAUGUUGUGGUGACCCCCAACCAUAACAUUAUUUCUGUUACUACUCAUAACUGUAAUUUUGCCACUGUAGUGAGUAAUAAGGCAAAUACCUGAUAUGCGGGAUAUCUGGUAUGGCAACCCCUGUAGAAGGGAUAUUUGACCCCGGAAAGGGUGGUGACUCAGAGGUUGAGAACCAUUCCACUGUCCCUGUGUUUGUCUGCCGCCUCAGCUCUUCAGCCUCCUGUGUGUAAAACGCAGCUAGUUCUCCUGCUUAAGGGUUCUUUGAUGAUUAAAUGAAAGGCUCCACAAAGGUCAUGGAAAACUCCAGAGGUAAGGGAGAGGAAGGUCCUGGCCUGCUUGCCCUGUUCCUCCCUCCACUGGGGACACAGUUGAAGCUUCUGUGCAAAUUCAGAGAGGCUCCCACUUCCCACGGUCUGCUCCUCAGGAAAACCACACAGAAACUCUGUAAAGGCCCCUUGUGCCCAUGGCUUGCCCAUCAGGAAGCCUGGGGCUUGGCUGAGGCCCCAGGAAGCUGAGCCUGGAGGUGGCCCACACCUCAAAUGCAGCUGGCCUAGUUUGGGGCAGCUUCUGAUGUCUGAUCAGAGAGUCUCAGGUUAUUCAGGUGUCCCCAUGGCACAGAUGUGAAAGUCAAGGCAGAAAGCCAGUUAGCAGAGUGGUAGCAUUUCAGCUGGGGGUCCUGGCUUUUAGUCCAGAGUCGCCAUAGCAGCAUCCCCUUGGGAAACGAUCUCUGGUCCUUCUACAGAAUUCUUCUCUACUGCUCGGUGUCGGUGGAUUAGAGCGUUUGGCAAGCAUGGCGUAGCAGGGGUGCCUCCACAGUUAGGAGGGUGUUUCCUGAGGCUAAGACUCUGCAGGGAGGGGAAGGAGCGCAUGAAAGAAGCAGCUUGGUUGUUUGGGAGCAGCUGGGAGACUACGUGGGCAGUGGCCUCCAGCUGGCCCAGGUGCGUGCGUGGGGCGUGGGUGGAGCCACGUGACAUCACUAAGCCACCCGGACAACUCGGCCUUUGAAACUAAAGUUUCUCUCUCUUCUAACUUGAAAAGAAAAGGAAACCAGAAACCACCCUGCUCCCUCCAAGGUCUGAGAAGCUGGCCCUCAAUCCCGGUUGCACAGCACAAUGCCUUAGGCUGUUUCUGCAAGCCUUUGAGGGAUGACAUGAGGACCUGGUGAAUUGAGGACCCAUAGGUGCUGUCCUGGGUCCUCUGAGGAGUAUUUUCUGAAUAUGAAGUGUCUGCUUUCUUCAAAGCUUGUCAGCUAGAGGCCCUGCUAGGGCCCUCCAACCCAGUGGCGAAUCGCCUGUGACUGACUGUUUCUGUUCUCAGAGCCACGUGCAUCACCUGACCAGGGUGAAGGGGUGGAAGGCAGACAGUACGCCUCUCUUGCGCUUCCCCUCCCAGUCCCCUGGCUUGCCUGGAGACUUCUGAGACACCCGUAAAGGAGAAUUCAUUGCCCCACCCAGUCGCACACACAUUUUGUUCUGACCCAGUGGUGGUAGAGGAGACUGAAUUUAAAAAUAUCCAUUUUUAUGGUGAGGAUCAGUGAAGCACCAUGAAGUCGAUGUCAUCUAUAAAGUCACAGUGCAGUGGAAAUUUCUGGUUUCUUUGGAGACUCAGUUGUGUCAUGUGAUGUUUUUCUGGAAACUGACUUUUGAGAGGAUGUUUUGCUGAGAACAGACAUGUGGCGGUUUUCUGGAGGCUGCCUGGUGAGAAGGCACGAGAUGUUUUGCUUGAGAAGACUCGUGGUGUUUGGAAAGACUAUACGUAUAACCCAACAGACAGUGGGCAGGCGCUGUGUGGGUUGGUUCACCUUGCUGUUUCUGUUGAUGCUCGUUUGUCCUGAUGUCAGAGAGAGAAAUGCACCAAGGAACUUCUGGAGGUGUUUUGGCUGCUUCUUGCUGCUUCCGAGACUUGUGCUUAUCUGCAGAGCCUCGUGGUUUCUUCUGGAUCGAGCUGCUACUGCUGCUGAUUCCUCUGGACAAUGAAGAUUGGAACUGCCCCCAAAGAACUACUUCUAAAUAGGUCCACAUCCCCCUUGUCCUGUUAACCAACCAUCUUCCCCUACCUUUGAUCGGCGGGCUACAAGGGAGGGGAAGUAUUUAAGAACCCUUAUUAAAGUAGGUUUUGAAAAAUAUAAGCCUACAUCGUA